rnacentral:rRNA from 1 species
UACGUAGGCAGCAAGCGUUGUUCGGAAUUACUGGGCGUAAAGAGUGUGUAGGCGGUGUUCUAAGUCUGUUGUGAAAUCUCCCGGCUUAACUGGGAGGGUGCGGCGGAAACUGGAAUGCUAGAGGAUGGGAAAGGUAAGCGGAAUUCCUGGUGUAGCGGUGAAAUGCGCAGAUAUCAGGAGGAACACCGGUGGCGAAGGCGGUUCUCUGGGCCUUACCUGACGCUGAGGAGCGAAAGCGUGGGGAGCAAACAGG